AUAUCCUCCAAUCAGCAGGCUGCGCGGGAGUUCACGGCGGAGGCGCGAGGCCACCGGCUCGCUCCACUGCGUCCAGGAACAUAGAAACGAUGAUGUGGGAACAAUCUGCCGCUGUGGUUGCUGCGGAGGGUGCAGCCCUGGUCUCACGAGAGGCUGUGUGCUCACCAUUGCCCCAUCCCAGAAGUGUAGGGGCGCCCCUGGGUGUACAGGAGUAACGCGGUUAUUUCUAGUAGGAUUGCUCUGCUUGGACCCAGGUGCCCGGUGGAGCGGGAGCGGCUGGGAGGAAGCCUCUGCUGGACUGUGUGUGUGCCAUGAGCUCUGGUAACAUUAGUAACUAGUGUCUCUAGUACGAGUGUAACGCUAACGCUUCUUUUGGAUAAUAGGAGAGAGUGCCCCUCCACCUACGCCCUUUCUCGUCACUGGGACCUGCAGUCACCGGCUGUCUGCUGACUGAACUGGAAGGGCAGGACGCCCGCUCCUGGGGACAGUUUCGAGGUGCCCUAGGCAUGUGGCGACCCAACCCAACCCAACCUAGGCGCCAGGAUGAAGGAAAUGCCUUCUGAAGUUGAAGAUGGGAGUCUUCAGGUCAGACGCAUCAGAGCCCCAAGGCAGUGGGCGGAAGCUCACUCUGAGGACUCGGAGGAAAGCGCCGGAAGUUCUUAGGCAAUUAUUUGGCCUUCUGCAGUGACGCCACUCCACUCCAUCCCAGCUGCCGCUCACCCACCCACAUCCCCAGCGAGCCACGCUUCCCGUAUUAUCCAAGACACCAGCCCGCCACGCACCACUUGCUUCCCUACUUGAGCGGUGCUUGAAUACUGUCACUCCUUCACAUCAGCUGCUUG
ensembl:lncRNA